AAGGAAACCCUGAUUAAAACUCAUUCUCUCUUCUUCUCUCACAACCGAACGGCGCUUCAAAGGGAACCAUAGUCAUCUCUUCAAGCAUUCAAUGCUGUGGUGUGGUGUUACAAGAGGAGGAAGCCACGAAGCUUUCUGCACCAGCUCACCUCUUCCCUACCUCCUAUAGUAUAUAUGGAUGAACCAAGCCUCUCAAUUCUCCUGGAAACAACAGAAAUGCACGACAAGAAGAGAAGAAAGGAAACAAGAGUGGCGGCCAAGGAGAAGAAGGAGGAAAACCCAGGCAGAAUCAUGAUCAUUUUCGUGCAUCGCCAUCAGGGAAGAAGAGAAGGACAGCCAUGGAAGUUGCUACCCGAAGCCAGAGGAGGAGCUCUACCCCUUUUCCUUUUUUAUUUCCUUAACGUUCUUCUUGCUGGGUAAGAACCAGUAGCUUCUGUAUUCUUCUGUUCUUUCCCAAUUCGAAAGUUCCAUCCUUAUUAAGCUUCAAUUUCUUUAAUUAAUGGCUAAACCAAUCAAGCUCAGUCCAUCACAAGAGUAAGAAUCCUUCUCUUGCUCUAUAUGAAGCUAGGUCAUUUGGCCCUAUAAAUUAACAAAUUUCUUUAAUUAUGAUUGUUAGGGUUUUUGAUUUAAGAUAAGCAAAGGACAAAAUUUAGUUUGUGAAAUUCUCAGAGUAAGGUUGAUAAAGCUAUAGAGGAAUACAAAAGGAUGAAGGGAGGGAUACAAAGCGAAGGAAGGCAAGCAUGUGUACUCAUUUGUUAUUUUUGUUUCCACACAUGUCGGAAUUGUGGAUUUGAUUAAGCAAACAACAUUUGAGAAAAUGAUAUUGUAUUAUUUAAUAUCAAUUUGUAAACUUUGAGAAAAUCAUUCAAAUAGCUAAGGUUAUUUAUUGACAC